rnacentral:tRNA from 1 species
GCAAGUGUAGUUUACUAAAAAUGCUGGAUUGUGAUUCCGAAGAAAGGGGUUAAACUCCCCUCACCUGCC